ensembl:lncRNA
GGAGAGGUUCCAACAAACUUCAUGCAACAUAGUACACAUCGGUCAGGAGCUCUGCCGGGACAGUCCCGUUAGUUCUCUAAUAUACGGCUAUCCAAACAAUUCAUAUAGGCAUGAUUUACAUGAUUCAUUAUUCAUCAUCAACGUUGGUUCCUGCAAAUGACUGACUGACUGAUAACUAACAAGGUUUCUUCUCUCAAAUCUGGGACCUUGAAACUGAGAUACUCUUUUUGGUUCCCAGAACAAUGUUCUGGGCGUACUGCCAAUUGGUCUGAGGAGGAGUUCAUAGUCACCUGCACGAACCAAGAUAGAGUGAGAGGAGAUGCUGUGUACAAUUCAAUGCUACCUCUUCAGACAGCAACAUUUUCCCUCACUUUCCCUCCUCUCCUUGUAUUACACUGUGAUAACUAUUGUUAAAAUAGUUCAAAUUGUUCAAAUGGCUUUCAACACGUUGUUUUUCAAAAUUAUAAGCCUGAAACCAGACAAACUAUUUACUGUAUAACAAAUUAUUACCACUACCAAUAUUCUUAAUAGAAAUGUCUAAGACAAAUGUCAAAUAGAAUAACAACACACUGUUAAAAUCAUUUUAUCAAAUUGGCUUAUACUCCCCUGUAACAUUGACGACCUCACUGCAGAGUUACAGGGUCAGGUUUGGUAGAGGGCUAACCCUUAGGGAGAAAUCCCGACCAUACAGCAGAACCAAUCUGGAGAUUUUUUUUUGAAGCAAGACAAAAAUAAAACAAACAAAACAACAAACAACAACCAAGAACAACAACCACAAUACACUUCUUCCCUUUUGACACAUGACUCACAUCGUGUUUUAUGCGUCCAAAACAACAACAACAACACUGCCGGUUAAGUAAAAAUUAUACAAAUCAGAAUAACAAAUACAAUCAAAUGACAUACCUUGAUAACUCCAUAAGGAAAUAAUUGUAUCCCAUAAGGUAAUUCAAGAUAUAAUAAUAUGGACUGGAGACAGGUUUCCCUCAUUCAGGGGCAGCAGUCUCUCUCUCUCUCUCUCUCUCCUCCUCAUGGUCUGAAUCACACAUAGGACUAUUGAUAAAACAUGUGUAUGUGACCCAUCUGAUUUAAUUUAUAAUCUUCUGACUAAUUAUCAGUGUUUACAUCUUACAUUUAAAUCUCACCCAAUGUCUCUAGCCUUUCUAGUGAGGGUGAUUAGGCCUCACCAGAAAGUCAGAAUAGAGGUCGGAGGUCAUUCAACCCUAUUAAGUGAGUGUUUAUUUCCCCAUUCUUUCCCUGUACUUCCGAAUCAAUAUUAAAAGACGUUUCAAACAUUUCAAACAUUUUGUGUACAAGGUUUACACUGGGGGUUUCAGUACAUUUCUUAACCUCUCCAGGGUAGGGGGCAGCAUUCAGAAUUUUGGAUGAAAAGCAUGCCCACAAUUAAACAGCCUGCUACUCGGGCCCAGAAGAUAUGAUAUGCAUAUAACUGGUAGAUUUGGAUAGAAAACACUCUAAAGUUUCCAAAACUG